rnacentral:tRNA from 1 species
GUGGCUGUAGUUUAGUGGUGAGAAUUCCACGUUGAGGCCAUAGAAACCUAGGCUUGAAUCCCAACAGCCACA